CGAACCCAGAAAUAUUGCCCACAAAUAUGCCCAACUGCAUUUUGAAAAGGGUGCUAAAGCAAUUCCAUGGGAAAAAGCUGGGCUUUGUGCUGACUACAGCCAUCUGUAGCUUGUGAUGAACUCAGGCCAAUCUCAGAAAACAGCAGCAGCUGAGAAGGAAGAAGGUUUAACCAAGGUUCUACCAGGUGGGAAUAGGAAAGGAGAGAAAGUGUGUGCCCAGGGUUGUGUGGGCGGGGCCCAAAGAGCUAGCCAAUGAUGCUUUCUGAAGGCCGAGGGAGCGGGGGAAAUUGUCCAAUCAGCGGGUGGGCAGAGGCACCAAUGAGCGGGACGGUUGUUAGGAUAGCUGACGUGGGUGCGUCACUGAGACGCCUCAGCUGAGCGCAGGGGAACCAACUCGCAUUUUGCAGCCUUCUGUGAGGCUUGCUUCUUGCCUGGUGUCUCAGGAUCCCGCUACCUUGCCCCAGUGGGCGCAGCACCUCAGAACCUCCAGGCCCAUGGCCACUGUCUGAAGACGUCCUCUUUCACCUUCUGUACUUCCUCGUCAAGGUCGACACAGAGGACGAGGGAGUGAGCAGCCCUUGGGAAGAUGCUUCUCUGCGCAGAGUCGUGGAUGCUCCCUAGCCAAGCUCCUGCAUCUUUUCUGUAUGGAAGAGGCCCUUGUUUGGACCGAGGCAGCAUCAGGCUUGACUGUGAAAAGCCAAGAUCAGAACGUGGAGGUGGAAAACAUCUCACUGAAAGCAUCCAAGAGGAACUGCUCUUGCAUCUUUCAAUGGAUCCCUUCAGAAGGGCAAUUCACAAGAUUUUGCACAGACACAAGAGAAAUAAGGGCGCUUAGAAGGAUGAGCUCCCAAUGACCACACGGUGGAUCAACUCUUCCAGCAAAUACCACCAACUCAGUCUCAACUACUGGACAGUUUCCCAGGUCCUAGGGAUGUGAAUGGGACCCAAAGGCAACCCUGGUAUCUUGUGCCUCAUCUCAUCUCCUUAUGGCAUUCAAA